GGGGGCGAACUGGUUUCGACCGGGCAGGUUGAAGGCAUGUGUGGCGUGCCGAGGACGCCGGGUGGCCUCGAUAAAAACCUGGCAAAAACUUUUAUUUGGCAACACCUUUGCCAUGGCCGCCUAAACAGGCGACCCGUCGAACCGCCCACGCCUUCUAGGCGGCAAGACGCCAUUUCGAGGGCUGGCCCUUCCGUGACACUCGGCCGCGGACGGGCGAGACAAAAGUCGAGUAUGCCAAACCGGAAGCCUGUCGAUCGGCGUCCGGGGCGGCGAGACUCAAACGAUCGACUACGCACGUAGAAGCCAUGUCCGAAAUGUUCCGGGACGCGGGUUCGAUUCCCGCCGCCUCCAGUU
rnacentral:tmRNA from 1 species